rnacentral:rRNA from 1 species
UACAGAGGUCUCAAGCGUUGUUCGGAUUCAUUGGGCGUAAAGGGUGCGUAGGUGGCGCUGUAAGUCAGGUGUGAAAUUUCGGAGCUUAACUCCGAAACUGCAUUUGAUACUGCGGUGCUUGAGGACUGGAGAGGAGACUGGAAUUCAUGGUGUAGCAGUGAAAUGCGUAGAGAUCAUGAGGAAGACCAGUGGCGAAGGCGGGUCUCUGGACAGUUCCUGACACUGAGACACGAAGGCCAGGGGAGCAAACGGG